AACGAUAGUGUCUCUGUCGACUGAUAUCAACACGUAGUCCUAUCUACAUAUAUCGAGCGCUACUUUAAUCUACCACAAGGCGACACGUAGAAUCGUCAUCGUUCGUGGAAUUUUCCAGCGUUAUCGUGCCUCUGUGUUAUCGGCGGGGUCUAACGUGGAAAUGUAUUCGCUGGCUGUGUAUACAAAGGGCAGAGAGGAAACCACGAGUUAAAAAUGAAUAUAAUUUGUAUUAUUCCGGCAGUAGCUAUAUAUAGGUAUAGAUAUAUAUUGUAUAUGUUGAUAUGUCUGUGUAUACAUGUAUAUAAAGUUUGAACGGCAAAAAGAAAAAGAUUGGUCGACUAUCUUCGACUUUCAGUCAAUGUAUGCACAAGAUAAGACGUCGGCCAUGUUGGAUUUUUUAAGACCGAUAAAAAGGACUGGAUACCAGUGGGAAAGGAUGCAACAGAGUUUUCAGACGUACAGGUUGAGUUUUCGGUUGGUGCUUUUUAAAUUUUAAGGCUCGUUUCGAUGCCGAGUGUCAAAGUUCACGGUAAACGCACUGGGCUCCGGCUUGGUUUUGCUUUCUUGGAUUUCUCGAGGAUUCUUUUUCUCAUGGACAGUUUCAAUCCUGCUGCGCUCAUCUGUAAUAUAAGAUCGUAUAUUUUUUUGUAAAGCUCUUCUGCUUUCUUGAGUUCGUAUUCUGCGGGAAGUAUGUUUGGUCGAUGUGCAUUUGUAGGACAUCAAUUUUAUUACGGCAGUGAUGAUCAACACUACAUACGGUACGAGCAUAACUCACCAUAAGAAACCAUAUGGUUUUUACAUUUUUACCGACCCCAUGCCGAGGAAAGCAAGUGUAAAGCCACGAAGACACCGCCGAAAGUUUCUACGACUACACAGUGUGCCUUUUUUUCAUAUAAUUUCUUUUCUCACAUAGUUACGCACCGGUUGGUACUACGUGUACAAACGUCCACAGGGUAUUACGUAAGUCCGUAAUCGGUCUACGAAUAAUAUAUAAUCUACAUGACGCGAAUGGUCAAUAGCCCAUAUAUGUAUAGUAACUAUACUCUCACUAUACCUCAGGGUUCUAUAACAACAACAUAGCUUAACGUUGAUAUAGCUAAGUACAUUUAGAUAACCACUGGAAGCGAUAAGAGAUUGAAGAAUCAAUAAUAGAAAUUAUCUACUCAUAUUUCAACAUUGAAUUAUAAAUACUAGUCUAAAUUUA